rnacentral:miRNA from 17 species
CUCCUACAUAUUAGCAUUAGCU